rnacentral:rRNA from 1 species
UACGAGAGGCCCAAACGUUAUUCGGAAUUACUGGGCGUAAAGCGCACGUAGGCGGAUUUGUAAGUCAGGGGUGAAAUCCCGGGGCUCAACCUCGGAACCGCCUUUGAUACUGCAAAUCUCGAGUCCGGAAGAGGUGAGUGGAAUUCCUAGUGUAGAGGUGAAAUUCGUAGAUAUUAGGAAGAACACCAGUGGCGAAGGCGGCUCACUGGUCCGGUACUGACGCUGAGGUGCGAAAGCGUGGGGAGCAAACAGG